AACCGCCGGAUGCGGGCCCGCAUGUCCGGUGGUGUGAGAGGGGACGGGUCAACCCCGUCCCCUACUCGAU
rnacentral:autocatalytically_spliced_intron from 1 species